UGUGAGGGUUGCUGGAGGUAUCAGAAGUGCGAAUGCUGACAUAAGUAACGAUAAAGCGGGUGAAAAGCCCGCUCGCCGGAAGACCAAGGGUUCCUGUCCAACGUUAAUCGGGGCAGGGUGAGUCGACCCCUAAGGCGAGGCCGAAAGGCGUAGUCGAUGGGAAACGGGUUAAUAUUCCCGUACUUGGUGUUACUGCGAAGGGGGGACGGAGAAGGCUAUGUUGGCCGGGCGACGGUUGUCCCGGUUUAAGCGUGUAGGUGUGUGUUCCAGGUAAAUCCGGUUCACUUUAACACUGAGGCGUGACGACGAGGCACUACGGUGCUGAAGCAACAAAUGCCCUGCUUCCAGGAAAAGCCUCUAAGCAUCAGGUAACAUCAAAUCGUACCCCAAACCGACACAGGUGGUCAGGUAGAGAAUACCAAGGCGCUUGAGAGAACUCGGGUGAAGGAACUAGGCAAAAUGGUGCCGUAACUUCGGGAGAAGGCACGCUGACACGUAGGUGAAGUGAUUUACUCAUGGAGCUGAAGUCAGUCGAAGAUACCAGCUGGCUGCAACUGUUUAUUAAAAACACAGCACUGUGCAAACACGAAAGUGGACGUAUACGGUGUGACGCCUGCCCGGUGCCGGAAGGUUAAUUGAUGGGGUCAGCGCAAGCGAAGCUCCUGAUCGAAGCCCCGGUAAACGGCGGCCGUAACUAUAACGGUCCUAAGGUAGCGAAAUUCCUUGUCGGGUAAGUUCCGACCUGCACGAAUGGCGUAAUGAUGGCCAGGCUGUCUCCACCCGAGACUCAGUGAAAUUGAACUCGCUGUGAAGAUGCAGUGUACCCGCGGCAAGACGGAAAGACCCCGUGAACCUUUACUAUAGCUUGACACUGAACAUUGAGCCUUGAUGUGUAGGAUAGGUGGGAGGCUUUGAAGUGUGGACGCCAGUCUGCAUGGAGCCGACCUUGAAAUACCACCCUUUAAUGUUUGAUGUUCUAACGUGGACCCGUUACCCGGGUUGCGGACAGUGUCUGGUGGGUAGUUUGACUGGGGCGGUCUCCUCCUAAAGAGUAACGGAGGAGCACGAAGGUUGGCUAAUCCUGGUCGGACAUCAGGAGGUUAGUGCAAUGGCAUAAGCCAGCUUGACUGCGAGCGUGACGGCGCGAGCAGGUGCGAAAGCAGGUCAUAGUGAUCCGGUGGUUCUGAAUGGAAGGGCCAUCGCUCAACGGAUAAAAGGUACUCCGGGGAUAACAGGCUGAUACCGCCCAAGAGUUCAUAUCGACGGCGGUGUUUGGCACCUCGAUGUCGGCUCAUCACAUCCUGGGGCUGAAGUAGGUCCCAAGGGUAUGGCUGUUCGCCAUUUAAAGUGGUACGCGAGCUGGGUUUAGAACGUCGUGAGACAGUUCGGUCCCUAUCUGCCGUGGGCGCUGGAGAACUGAGGGGGGCUGCUCCUAGUACGAGAGGACCGGAGUGGACGCAUCACUGGUGUUCGGGUUGUCAUGCCAAUGGCACUGCCCGGUAGCUAAAUGCGGAAGAGAUAAGUGCUGAAAGCAUCUAAGCACGAAACUUGCCCCGAGAUGAGUUCUCCCUGAGACUUAAAGUCUCCUGAAGGAACGUUGAAGACGACGACGUUGAUAGGCCGGGUGUGUAAGCGCAGCGAUGCGUUGAGCUAACCGGUACUAAUGAACCGUGAGGCUUAACCUUACAACGCCGAAG
rnacentral:rRNA from 1 species